GACGAACGCUGGCUGCGUGCUUAACACAUGCAAGUCGAACGCUGAAGCCUGGUGCUUGCACCGGGUGGAUGAGUGGCGAACGGGUGAGUAACACGUGAGUAACCUGCCCCUGACUUCGGGAUAAGCCCGGGAAACUGGGUCUAAUACCGGAUACGACUGCCGGACGCAUGUCUGGUGGUGGAAAGUUUUUUCGGUUGGGGAUGGGCUCGCGGCCUAUCAGUUUGUUGGUGAGGUAAUGGCCCACCAAGACGACGACGGGUAGCCGGCCUGGGAGGGCGACCGGCCACACUGGGACUGAGACACGGCCCAGACUCCUACGGGAGGCAGCAGUGGGGAAUAUUGCACAAUGGGGGAAACCCUGAUGCAGCGACGCAGCGUGCGGGAUGACGGCCUUCGGGUCGUAAACCGCUUUCAGCAGGGAAGAAGCGCAAGUGACGGUACCUGCAGAAGAAGUACCGGCUAACUACGUGCCAGCAGCCGCGGUAAUACGUAGGGUACGAGCGUUGUCCGGAAUUAUUGGGCGUAAAGAGCUCGUAGGUGGUUGGUCACGUCUGCUGUGGAAACGCAACGCUUAACGUUGCGCGUGCAGUGGGUACGGGCUGACUAGAGUGCAGUAGGGGAGUCUGGAAUUCCUGGUGUAGCGGUGAAAUGCGCAGAUAUCAGGAGGAACACCGGUGGCGAAGGCGGGACUCUGGGCUGUAACUGACACUGAGGAGCGAAAGCAUGGGGAGCGAACAGGAUUAGAUACCCUGGUAGUCCAUGCCGUAAACGUUGGGCACUAGGUGUGGGGGGCAUUCCACGUUCUCCGCGCCGUAGCUAACGCAUUAAGUGCCCCGCCUGGGGAGUACGGUCGCAAGGCUAAAACUCAAAGGAAUUGACGGGGGCCCGCACAAGCGGCGGAGCAUGCGGAUUAAUUCGAUGCAACGCGAAGAACCUUACCAAGGCUUGACAUACACCGGACCGUCCUGGAAACAGGUCUUCUUCUUUGAAGCUGGUGUACAGGUGGUGCAUGGUUGUCGUCAGCUCGUGUCGUGAGAUGUUGGGUUAAGUCCCGCAACGAGCGCAACCCUCGUUCUAUGUUGCCAGCACGUGAUGGUGGGAACUCAUAGGAGACUGCCGGGGUCAACUCGGAGGAAGGUGGGGAUGACGUCAAAUCAUCAUGCCCUUUAUGUCUUGGGCUUCACGCAUGCUACAAUGGCUGGUACAGAGAGAGGCGAACCCGUGAGGGCAAGCGAAUCCCUUAAAGCCAGUCUCAGUUCGGAUCGUAGUCUGCAAUUCGACUACGUGAAGUCAGAGUCGCUAGUAAUCGCAGAUCAGCAACGCUGCGGUGAAUACGUUCCCGGGCCU
rnacentral:rRNA from 1 species